AGCGAACGUUAGCGGCGGGCCUAACACAUGCAAGUCGAGCGAGAAAGGGGCUUCGGCCCCGAGUACAGCGGCGGAGCGGGAUGGAGUAACACGUAGGUAAUCUGCCUUUCAGUGGGGGACAACGGUCCGAAAGGACCGCUAAUACCGCAUACGUUCUCCGGGACUCCGGUCCUGGAGAGGAAAGCUGGGCAACUGGCGCUGAAAGAGGAGCCUGCGUCGCAUCAGCUAGUUGGUGGGGCUAACGGCCUACCAAGGCGAAGACGCGUAGCUGGUCUGAGAGGAUGAUCAGCCACACUGGGACUGAGACACGGCCCAGACUCCUACGGGAGGCAGCAGUGGGGAAUAUUGGACAAUGGGCGAAAGCCUGAUCCAGCCACGCCGCGUGAGUGAUGAAGGCCUUCGGGUCGUAAAGCUCUGUGGGGAGGGACGAAUGUCCCGGCGUAGAGCCGGGGGUGACGGUACCUCCUUAGCAAGCACCGGCUAACUUCGUGCCAGCAGCCGCGGUAAUACGAAGGGUGCAAACGUUGCUCGGAAUCAUUGGGCGUAAAGCGCACGUAGGCGGCCUCGCAAGUCUGAUGUGAAAUCCCUCGGCUCAACCGAGGACGUGCAUCGGAAACUGCGGGGCUGAGUACUGAAGAGGAUCGCGGAAUUCCGGUGUAGAGGUGAAAUUCGUAGAUAUCGGGGAGGAAACACCAGUGGCGAAGGCGGCGAUCUGGGCAGAUACUGACGCUGAGGUGCGAAAGCGUGGGGGAGCAAA
rnacentral:rRNA from 1 species